CGGGCUACACACGUGCUACAAUGGGCGGUACAAAGGGUCGCGAACCCGCGAGGGGGAGCCAAUCCCAAAAAGCCGCUCUCAGUUCGGAUUGCAGGCUGCAACUCGCCUGCAUGAAGCCGGAAUCGCUAGUAAUCGCGGAUCAGCAUGCCGCGGUGAAUACGUUCCCGGGCCUU
rnacentral:rRNA from 1 species